rnacentral:rRNA from 1 species
AUUGAACGCUGGCGGCAUGCUUUACACAUGCAAGUCGAACGGCAGCGCGGGCUUCGGCCUGGCGGCGAGUGGCGAACGGGUGAGUAAUGCAUCGGAACGUGCCCAGUAGUGGGGGAUAGCCCGGCGAAAGCCGGAUUAAUACCGCAUACGACCUGAGGGGGAAAGCGGGGGACCGAAAGGCCUCGCGCUAUUGGAGCGGCCGAUGUCGGAUUAGCUAGUUGGUGGGGUAAAGGCUUACCAAGGCGACGAUCCGUAGCUGGUCUGAGAGGACGACCAGCCACACUGGGACUGAGACACGGCCCAGACUCCUACGGGAGGCAGCAGUGGGGAAUUUUGGACAAUGGGGGCAACCCUGAUCCAGCCAUGCCGCGUGCGGGAAGAAGGCCUUCGGGUUGUAAACCGCUUUUUUUCGGGAAGAAAUCCUCUGGGCUAAUACCCCGGGGGGAUGACGGUACCGGAAGAAUAAGCACCGGCUAACUACGUG